GCCGGUUUAGCUCAGUGGUAGAGCGUCUGUCUCGUAAACAGAAGGUCGCAGGUUCGAUCCCUGCAAUCGGCA
rnacentral:tRNA from 1 species